rnacentral:rRNA from 1 species
GACGAACGCUGGCGGCGUGCCUAAUACAUGCAAGUAGAACGCUGAAGAGAGGAGCUUCCUCUUCUUGGAUGAGUUGCGAACGGGUGAGUAACGCGUAGGUAACCUGCCUUGUAGCGGGGGAUAACUAUUGGAAACGAUAGCUAAUACCGCAUAACAAUGGAUGACACAUGUCAUUUAUUUGAAAGGUGCAAUUGCUCCACUACAAGAUGGACCUGCGUUGUAUUAGCUAGUAGGUGAGGUAAUGGCUCACCUAGGCGACGAUACAUAGCCGACCUGAGAGGGUGAUGGGCGACACUGGGACUGCGACGCGGCCCAGACUCCUACGGGAGGCAGCAGUAGGGAAACUGCGGCAAUGGGGGCAAUCCUGACCGAGCAACGCCGCGGGAGUGAAGAAGGUUGUCGGAUCGUAAAGCUCGGUUGUAAGUCAAGAACGGGUGUGAGAGUGGAAAGUUCACACUGUGACGGUAGCUGACCAGAAAGCGACGGCUAACUACGUG